UGCGGAGGGAUCAUUACCGAGUAACUCCAACCCAAUGUGAACGUUACCAAACUGUUGCCUCGGCGGGAUCUCUGCCCCGGGUGCGUCGCAGCCCCGGACCAAGGCGCCCGCCGGAGGACCAACCAAAACUCUUAUUGUAUACCCCCUCGCGGGUUUUUUACUAUCUGAGCCAUCUCGGCGCCCCUCGUGGGCGUUUCGAAAAUGAAUCAAAACUUUCAACAACGGAUCUCUUGGUUCUGGCAUCGAUGAAGAACGCAGCGAAAUGCGAUAAGUAAUGUGAAUUGCAGAAUUCAGUGAAUCAUCGAAUCUUUGAACGCACAUUGCGCCCGCCAGUAUUCUGGCGGGCAUGCCUGUCCGAGCGUCAUUUCAACCCUCGAACCCCUCCGGGGGGUCGGCGUUGGGGAUCGGCCCUUUACGGGGCCGGCCCCGAAAUACAGUGGCGGUCUCGCCGCAGCCUCUCCUGCGCAGUAGUUUGCACACUCGCAUCGGGAGCGCGGCGCGUCCACAGCCGUUAAACACCCCAAACUUCUGAAAUGUUGACCUCGGAUCAGGUAGGAAUACCCGCUGAACUUAAGCAUAUCAAUAAG
rnacentral:rRNA from 1 species